rnacentral:tRNA from 1 species
AAAAAGAUAAGCUAAAAUAAGCUUAUAGGUUCAUACCCUAUCCAUGAAUUUAAAUUCUCUUUUUA